UACGUAGGGUGCGAGCGUUAAUCGGAAUUACUGGGCGUAAAGCGUGCGCAGGCGGUUUGCUAAGACAGGUGUGAAAUCCCCGGGCUUAACCUGGGAACUGCGCUUGUGACUGGCAGGCUAGAGUACGGCAGAGGGGGGUGGAAUUCCUGGUGUAGCAGUGAAAUGCGUAGAUAUCAGGAGGAACACCGAUGGCGAAGGCAGCCCCCUGGGCCUGUACUGACGCUCAUGCACGAAAGCGUGGGGAGCAAACAGGAUUAGA
rnacentral:rRNA from 1 species